rnacentral:rRNA from 1 species
GAUGAACGCUGACAGAAUGCUUAACACAUGCAAGUCGAUUCGAUUUACCUUCGGGUAUUGAGGAUGGCGGACGGGUGAGUAACGCGUAAGGAACUUGCCUCUUGGUCUGGGACAACUGUUGGAAACGACAGCUAAUACCGGAUAUUAUGAGAUUCUCGCAUGGGAAACUUAUGAAAGCUAUAUGCGCCAAGAGAGAGCCUUGCGUUCCAUUAGCUAGUUGGUGGGGUAACGGCCCACCAAGGCGACGAUGGAUAGCCGGCCUGAGAGGGUGAACGGCCACAAGGGGACUGAGACACGGCCCUUACUCCUACGGGAGGCAGCAGUGGGGAAUAUUGGACAAUGGGCCACAAGCCUGAUCCAGCAAUUCUGUGUGCACGAUGAAGGUCUUCGGAUUGUAAAGUGCUUUCAGUUGGGAAGAAGAAAGUGACGGUACCAACAGAAGAAGCGACGGCUAAAUACGUGCCAGCAGCCGCGGUAAUACGUAUGUCGCAAGCGUUAUCCGGAUUUAUUGGGCGUAAAGCGCGUCUAGGCGGAAAAAUAAGUCUGAUGUUAAAAUGCGGGGCUCAACUCCGUAUUGCGUUGGAAACUGUUUUUCUAGAGUACUGGAGAGGUGGGCGGAACUACAAGUGUAGAGGUGAAAUUCGUAGAUAUUUGUAGGAAUGCCGAUGGAGAAGUCAGCUCACUGGACAGAUACUGACGCUAAAGCNCGAAAGCGUGGGGAGCAAACAGGAUUAGAUACCCUGGUAGUCCACGCCGUAAACNAUGAUCACUA